rnacentral:rRNA from 1 species
AGAGUUUGAUCCUGGCUCAGGACGAACGCUGGCGGCGUGCUUAACACAUGCAAGUCGAACGGACGGAUUAAGAAGAAGCCUUCGGGUAGACGCUUAAGAAGUUAGUGGCGGACGGGUGAGUAACGCGUGGGUAACCUACCCAUUAAACCGGGAUAACUCCGGGAAACUGGAGCUAAUACCGGAUAAGCUUACACUAUGGCAUCAUAGAGUAAGAAAAGGAGGCCUCUCUAUAGAAGCUACCGAUAAUGGAUGGACCCGCGUCCCAUUAGCUAGUUGGUGAGGUAAAGGCUCACCAAGGCAACGAUGGGUAGCCGGCCUGAGAGGGUGACCGGCCACACUGGGACUGAGACACGGCCCAGACUCCUACGGGAGGCAGCAGUGGGGAAUAUUGCGCAAUGGGGGAAACCCUGACGCAGCAACGCCGCGUGAGUGAAGAAGGCCUUCGGGUCGUAAAGCUCUGUCAUUGGGGAAGAAGUCUAGUAUGUAAAUAGCGUGCUAGGUGACGGUACCCAAGGAGGAAGCCACGGCUAACUACGUGCCAGCAGCCGCGGUAAUUC